AGAGUUUGAUCAUGGCUCACGGACGAACGCUGGCGGCGUGCUUAACACAUGCAAGUCACGGGGGCUCGCAAGAGCAACCGGCGAACGGGUGCGUAACACGUGAGCAAUCUGCCGAUCUCUGGGGGAUAGCCGGCCCAACGGCCGGGUAAUACCGCAUACGCUCAUCGGGGGACAUCCCCUGGUGAGGAAACCUCCGGGGGAGAUCGAGGAGCUCGCGACCUAUCAGCUAGUUGGCGAGGUAAUGGCUCACCAAGGCUACGACGGGUAGCUGGUCUGAGAGGAUGGCCAGCCACAUUGGGACUACGACACGGCCCAGACUCCUACGGGAGGCAGCAGUGGGGAAUAUUGCGCAAUGGACGAAAGUCUGACGCAGCGACGCCGCGUGUGGGAUGAAGCUCUUCGGGGUGUAAACCACUGUUGCCCGGGAAGAAACUCCUGAUUCGUCAGGACUGACGGUACCGGGUGAGGAAGCACCGGCUAACUCUGUGCCAGCAGCCGCGGUAAUACAGACGGGUGCCAGCGUUGUCCGGAAUCCUUGGGCGUAAAGGGCGCGUAGGUGGCCGGGAUAAGCGUGCGGUGAAAGCCCGGGCUCAACCCCGGGGCUGCAGUGAGACUGCGUGGCUAGAGCACGUAGACGCGAGUGGAAUUCCCGGUGUAGCGGUGGAAUGCGUAGAUAUCGGGAAGAACACCGUGGCGAAGGCGCUCGCUGGGCCGUUGCUGACGCUGAGCCGAAAGCGUGGGGAGCAACAGAUUAGAUCAYASCSUGGKAGWSCAMRCMGKAWWMGAURSSCWSGUAGKCGUCGGGGGGAGCGACCCUCGGUGCGUCGCUAACGCAGUAAGUACCGCUGGAGUACGGUCGCAAGACUGAAACUCAAAGGAAUUGACGGGGCCCGCACAAGCGGUGGAGCAUGUGGUUUAAUUCGAAGCAACGCGAAGAACCUUACCUGGGCUUGACAUGCUAGUGAAAGCCGGUGGAAACAUCGGCCCCUCUUCGGAGCACUAGCACAGGUGCUGCAUGGCUGUCGUCAAGCUUCGUGUCGUGAGAUGUUGGGUUAAGUCCCGCAACGAGCGCAACCCUCGCUCCCAGUUGCCAAGCGAGUCAUGUCGGGGACUCUGGGGGGACUGCCGGUGUCAAACCGGAGGAAGGUGGGGACGACGUCAAGUCAUCAUGGCCCUUACGUCCAGGGCGACACACGUGCUACAAUGGCCGGUACAGCGCGCUGCCAACUCGUGAGAGUGAGCUAAUCGCUAAAAGCCGGUCUAAGUUCGGAUUGUAGUCUGUAACUCGACUACAUGAAGCCGGAAUCGCUAGUAAUCGUGGAUCAGCCAUGCCACGGUGAGUACGUUCCCGGGCCUUGUACACACCGCCCGUCACGCCAUGGGAGCUGGGAGGACCCGAAGCCGGUGUGCCAACCGCAAGGAGGCAGCCGUCUAAGGUCAGCUCAGUGACUGGGGCGAAGUCGUAACAAGGUAGCCGUA
rnacentral:rRNA from 1 species